ACUGGACCUUCCCAGGCAGCUGUGGGCUGCAGGUGGAAGAUGCCUCUUGCCUCCACAGCAGCCACCAGCCCUGCCUGGCUGUAUCACACUGCAACACAACACCCAGAGGACACCCUGGUGAAAAUGAGCACACCUAGCUCCUAGACCUUGUGUUGAAGAAACAUUCUGCUCUAAAGGAACCCCGGAGAAGUGGUGGAAUCCAGGGCUAGGGCAGUGAAAGUGUAAGCUGGAUUUGGAGCAGAUUGUAGUGGCAGAGAGCAAGGAAGUGCUCAAAAAGGAUGGGGACAUGUUGGAGGACGCGGGAGCCAGGCUGACAGCAUCAGUAUAAGCAAUGACAGUAACGGAUUAUAACUUCCUGAAUAAAGCAAAAACCUGCAAGCCCAUAUCGCAACAGACAAAUGAGACCGGGAACCAACAAUUCUUCCUUGCAGUAGAAUGUCAACCAAUAAAUGGAGAACAAGA